GAUGCGCGGCCCCGCACAUCGCUAUCGCCGCUGCUAGAUUGGCCUGCAUGCAGGCCAAUCUAGCGGGUCGCUCACCUCACCCGCUGGGUGAAGUGAGCGGCCCCCCCGUCUCCCCCCGCACGCUCAGCACAGAUCGCGCUGUGCUGAGCGGCAGGAGAGAUGUGUGCUGAGCGGUUCGCUCAGCACGCAUCUCUCCUUGAUCGGCCCGUGAGUACUGGGCUUAAGUACUACUUUACGACCUUAAAUUAAAUUGAUCAACCUCUCACCUAAUUGAUUGUGAGGUAAAGAUCUGAUUAUUUCUAUUCAUUACAGCUUCUUUCCUCACUGGACGUUUUGUUUGGUGUUAUUGGCUUGACUUUAAAAUCCCUUGUGAACUUCCAUUAAUCUUGGAGGACACAAUCUAAUUGGUCAUUUGCCCCAUAAUUAAAUAAAGUACCUACAAGGAACCACAAUUAAGGAGCAGCUGAUUAGAAGUUCACGAGAGUUUUUAGUAUCAUUAUAGAUAUAUAUCACGUUUUAACACUCUUCACAGUGAGAUCAUCUUGUAGGAAAUUUGCUAAAGCAUUAUUCCACUGUGACUUGUACCCCUGAUGAAGUCCAUAAUGGACGAAACGCGUUGGGUUUUAUGAGAUAUAUAUAUAGCAUACACUGUUUCUGCAUAAAUGUGUAUUGUGCUUAUGGAACAACGUGUAUGACAAAUUUUAACGUGUAUUAAAAAUAAUCUUUCUAUCA